GGUCCAGUGGCCAAAUGGCAAGGCGCUUGACUACGAAUCAAGAGAUUGCAGGUUCGAUCCCUGGCUGGAUCG
rnacentral:tRNA from 2 species